rnacentral:rRNA from 1 species
GACGAACGCUGGCGGCGUGCUUAACACAUGCAAGUCGAACGGAAAGGCCCUGCUUUUGUGGGGUGCUCGAGUGGCGAACGGGUGAGUAACACGUGAGUAACCUGCCCUUGACUUUGGGAUAACUUCAGGAAACUGGGGCUAAUACCGGAUAGGAGCUCCUGCUGCAUGGUGGGGGUUGGAAAGUUUCGGCGGGUGGGGAUGGACGCGCGGCUUAUCAGCUUGUUGGUGGGGUAGUGGCUUACCAAGGCUUUGACGGGUAGCCGGCCUGAGAGGGUGACCGGCCACAUUGGGACUGCGAUACGGCCCAGACUCCUACGGGAGGCAGCAGUGGGGAAUAUUGCCCAAUGGGCGGAAGCCUGAUGCAGCAACGCCGCGUGCGGGAUGACGGCCUUCGGGUUGUAAACCGCUUUCGCCUGUGACGAAGCGUGAGUGACGGUAAUGGGUAAAGAAGCACCGGCUAACUACGUG